CUGGCAGUCAGAGGCGAUGAAGGACGUGCUAAUCUGCGAUAAGCGCCGGUAAGGUGAUAUGAACCGUUAUAACCGGCGAUUUCCGAAUGGGGAAACCCAGUGUGAUUCGUCACACUAUCAUUAACUGAAUCCAUAGGUUAAUGAGGCGAACCGGGGGAACUGAAACAUCUAAGUACCCCGAGGAAAAGAAAUCAACCGAGAUUCCCCCAGUAGCGGCGAGCGAACGGGGAGGAGCCCAGAGCCUGAAUCAGCAUGUGUGUUAGUGGAAGCGUCUGGAAAGGCGCGCGAUACAGGGUGACAGCCCCGUACACAAAAGCGCAUGUGCUGUGAGCUCGAUGAGUAGGGCGGGACACGUGGUAUCCUGUCUGAAUAUGGGGGGACCAUCCUCCAAGGCUAAAUACUCCUGACUGACCGAUAGUGAACCAGUACCGUGAGGGAAAGGCGAAAAGAACCCCGGCGAGGGGAGUGAAAAAGAACCUGAAACCGUGUACGUACAAGCAGUGGGAGCACAGGUUUACCUGUGUGACUGCGUACCUUUUGUAUAAUGGGUCAGCGACUUAUAUUCUGUAGCAAGGUUAACCGAAUAGGGGAGCCGGAGGGAAACCGAGUCUUAAUUGGGCGUUAAGUUGCAGGGUAUAGACCCGAAACCCGGUGAUCUAGCCAUGGGCAGGUUGAAGGUUGGGUAACACUAACUGGAGGACCGAACCGACUAAUGUUGAAAAAUUAGCGGAUGACCUGUGGCUGGGGGUGAAAGGCCAAUCAAACCGGGAGAUAGCUGGUUCUCCCCGAAAGCUAUUUAGGUAGCGCCUCGUGAAUUCAUCUCCGGGGGUAGAGCACUGUUUCGGCUAGGGGGCCAUCCCGGCUUACCAACCCGAUGCAAACUGCGAAUACCGGAGAAUGUUAUCACGGGAGACACACGGCGGGUGCUAACGUCCGUCGUGAAGAGGGAAACAACCCAGACCGCCAGCUAAGGUCCCAAAGUCAUGGUUAAGUGGGAAACGAUGUGGGAAGGCCCAGACAGCCAGGAUGUUGGCUUAGAAGCAGCCAUCAUUUAAAGAAAGCGUAAUAGCUCACUGGUCGAGUCGGCCUGCGCGGAAGAUGUAACGGGGCUAAACCAUGCACCGAAGCUGCGGCAGCGAACGUAUCACUUAAAGCGAUUCAGCGGGUUACGAUUGACGGAGCGAAGCGACGUCAAAGCGUAUACAAAGUCGAGUCGGUUUAAGGAUACGUUCGUUGGGUAGGGGAGCGUUCUGUAAGCCUGUGAAGGUGGCCUGUGAGGGUUGCUGGAGGUAUCAGAAGUGCGAAUGCUGACAUAAGUAACGAUAAAGCGGGUGAAAAGCCCGCUCGCCGGAAGACCAAGGGUUCCUGUCCAACGUUAAUCGGGGCAGGGUGAGUCGACCCCUAAGGCGAGGCCGAAAGGCGUAGUCGAUGGGAAACGGGUUAAUAUUCCCGUACUUGGUGUUACUGCGAAGGGGGGACGGAGAAGGCUAUGUUGGCCGGGCGACGGUUGUCCCGGUUUAAGCGUGUAGGUGUGUGUUCCAGGUAAAUCCGGUUCACUUUAACACUGAGGCGUGACGACGAGGCACUACGGUGCUGAAGCAACAAAUGCCCUGCUUCCAGGAAAAGCCUCUAAGCAUCAGGUAACAUCAAAUCGUACCCCAAACCGACACAGGUGGUCAGGUAGAGAAUACCAAGGCGCUUGAGAGAACUCGGGUGAAGGAACUAGGCAAAAUGGUGCCGUAACUUCGGGAGAAGGCACGCUGACAC
rnacentral:rRNA from 1 species